rnacentral:rRNA from 1 species
GAUGAACGCUGGCGGCGUGCCUAAUACAUGCAAGUCGAGCGAACGGACGAGAAGCUUGCUUCUCUGAUGUUAGCGGCGGACGGGUAAGUAACACGUGGAUAACCUACCUAUAAGACUGGGAUAACUUCGGGAAACCGGAGCUAAUACCGGAUAAUAUUUUGAACCGCAUGGUUCAAAAGUGAAAGACGGUCUUGCUGUCACUUAUAGAUGGAUCCGCGCUGCAUUAGCUAGUUGGUAAGGUAACGGCUUACCAAGGCAACGAUGCAUAGCCGACCUGAGAGGGUGAUCGGCCACACUGGAACUGAGACACGGUCCAGGCUCCUACGGGAGGCAGCAGUAGGGAAUCUUCCGCAAUGGGCGAAAGCCUGACGGAGCAACGCCGCGUGAGUGAUGAAGGUCUUCGGAUCGUAAAACUCUGUUAUUAGGGAAGAACAUAUGUGUAAGUAACUGUGCACAUCUUGACGGUACCUAAUCAGAAAGCCACGGCUAACUACGUG